rnacentral:tRNA from 1 species
GGGGGUGUGGCUCAGUGGUAGAGCGCUUGCCUAGCACGUGUGAGGCCCUGGGUUCAAUCCUCAGCACCACAU